rnacentral:tRNA from 1 species
GGGCCCGUAGCCUAGUACGGAUAGGGCACUGGCCUUCGGAGCCGGGGGUCGCGGGUUCAAAUCCUGCCGGGCCCGCCA